rnacentral:rRNA from 1 species
AACGAACGCUGGCGGCAUGCCUAACACAUGCAAGUCGAACGAACCCUUCGGGGUUAGGGGCGCACGGGUGCGUAACGCGUGGGAAUCUGCCCUUUGCUUCGGAAUAACAGUUAGAAAUGACUGCUAAUACCGGAUGAUGUCGUCGGACCAAAGAUUUAUCGUCAAGGGAUGAGCCCGCGUAGGAUUAGGUAGUCGGUGGGGUAAAGGCCUACCAAGCCGACGAUCCUUAGCUGGUCUGAGAGGAUGAUCAGCCACACUGGGACUGAGACACGGCCCAGACUCCUACGGGAGGCAGCAGCGGGGAAUAUUGGACAAUGGGCGCAAGCCUGAUCCAGCAAUGCCGCGUGAGUGAUGAAGGCCUUCGGGUCGUAAAGCUCUUUUACCAGGGAUGAUAAUGACAGUACCUGGAGAAUAAGCUCCGGCUAACUCCGUGCCAGCCGCCGCCGUAA